AUGUAUUAUGGUCAGCCGUCAUAGUCGGUCUUAUAUCGAAUAACGAAGGUCCACGACCUUGUAGUGACCCUUCACACCUGCUGGCCUUAUCGCUCGCUUCUGCAUAGAAUGUUUUUUGGCAACAACAUACGUCACCUCCUUCCUCGGCUCCUUGUGUGCUUUCCUGUACAAUCUGGAACCGCCAAAUUGGAGUCUGCUUCAGAACCCACACCAAAGGAUGGUAAUCUUUAGACCGGAAUACUUUGGUAAUGAACCAUCCCCCAGGCCUGAGAAAUUGU
rnacentral:lncRNA from 1 species